GUUGAACGCUGGCGGCAGGCCUAACACAUGCCAGUCGAGCGGAUGAAGGGGGCUUUCGCCUGGAUUCAGCGGCGGACGGGUGAGUAAUGCCUAGGAAUCUGCCUUGUAUUGGGGGAUAACGUCCGGAAACGGGCGCGAAUACCGCAUACGUCCUGAUGUAGAAAGUGGGGGAUCUUCGGACCUCGCGCUAUCAGCUGAGCCUAGGUCGGAUUAGCUAGUUGGUGUGGUAACGGCCUACCAAGGCGACGAUCCGUAGCUGGUCUGAGAGGAUGAUCAGCCACACUGGAACUGAGACACGGUCCAGACUCCUACGGGAGGCAGCAGUGGGGAAUCUUGGACAAUGGGCGAAAGCCUGAUCCAGCAAUGCCGCGUGUGUGAAGAAGGUCUUCGGAUUGUAAAGCACUUUAAGUUGGGAGGAAGGGCAGUAAGUUAAUACAUUGCUGUUUUGACGGUACCAACAGAAUAAGCACCGGCUAACUUCGUG
rnacentral:rRNA from 1 species